UAGGGAAUCUUCCACAAUGGACGCAAGUCUGAUGGAGCAACGCCGCGUGAGUGAAGAAGGUUUUCGGAUCGUAAAGCUCUGUUGUUGGUGAAGAAGGAUAGAGGCAGUAACUGGUCUUUAUUUGACGGUAAUCAACCAGAAAGUCACGGCUAACUACGUGCCAGCAGCCGCGGUAAUACGUAGGUGGCAAGCGUUGUCCGGAUUUAUUGGGCGUAAAGCGAGCGCAGGCGGAAUGAUAAGUCUGAUGUGAAAGCCCACGGCUCAACCGUGGAACUGCAUCGGAAACUGUCAUUCUUGAGUGCAGAAGAGGAGAGUGGAACUCCAUGUGUAGCGGUGGAAUGCGUAGAUAUAUGGAAGAACACCAGUGGCGAAGGCGGCUCUCUGGUCUGCAACUGACGCUGAGGCUCGAAAGCAUGGGUAGCGAACAGGAUUAGAUACCCUGGUAGUCCAUGUCGUAAACGAUGAGCGCUAGGUGUUGGGGGACUUUCCGGUUCUCAGUGCCGCAGCAAACGCAUUAAGCGCUCCGCCUGGGGAGUACGACCGCAAGGUUGAA
rnacentral:rRNA from 1 species